GAGUUCCGAUACGAUCACCGAAGUUAAGCAACGUCGAGCCCGGUCAGUACCUAGAUGGGUGACCACUUGGGAAUACAAAAUGCUGUAA
rnacentral:rRNA from 1 species